ensembl:lncRNA
CCAGCUUUGGGGGGCUCGGCAUGGUCGGCGUAAGUGAGGGCCCCUUCCCACGAGGUUGGGCUCAGGAGUGGGCCAGGUGGCAUUUGGCCUUGGGGACUAGACCAGCCCUGGGUGGGCUGGAGUUAGCGUAACUAGGCCUUUUUUACAAGUUGAGUUUUUCAGUUUCCCAGGUUUGUAGGUAACACAGAGCAGACAAAGAGGGAUUUGUGUAAAUUGUUCUAAGACCUAUCAAACAAGAGGGUGGCGCUGACCCCCAGAGAGUGAGUCAUGGGUGCACGUCCACUGUGCGGGUGGACAGAGGAGGGGCUUGGUGGCCGCUGUCCAGCCCCGGUUCACAGCCCGCUCUCUGUGAGAUAGAGCAGGGUCUGUGAGGCAGCGCGCGCCGGCCCUAAACGCUGAAACGGCUGGGUGAGCGGGAAGGCUCUUGGCCAAGCAGCCCCUUCCCUCCCCUCCCUCCUCUCGCCUUCCCCGCCCUGUGACCCCAGAGGGCUGAGUGCGGGAAAGCCUGCCCUCCCUGGUGGCCACCUCUACCAGGCCCUUCAGCUACCAGCCCAAUGCCAGUGGGCCCUCUGGCAGAGCUGAUGCCCCCAAGGCUUCCCCUAGACCGCCACGGCCCACCUUGGUGAGAACACGGGACAGCCAGCCCCUCUCCAGACAGCCUGUCUCCUCCAGGGUCCUCAGCUGCCUGGGGCCGGGGCCACAUGUCCCGGUUGACGCCCGCAGUCCCGACGUCAUCAAGAGCACCCCCUUCACUCUCGGCAGUGUCGUGGUGGUGGUCACCUGUGGCAGUCCUGGCAUCUUGCAGCCGGUGGGCAACAUCAGGCAGAGGAAAGGGUGUCUGGAUGGACCCUUAAACACAGUAGGGUCCCAAGGUGGGUCCUUUCCUCGUCAGCCCGAGGUGGGCGGGGGGAGAGGCAGGACCCCAUCUUGCACCCUGGGGGUGCCCUGCCUCCAACAGCCGGGGACCACACCUCCUCCCCCUUCUACACAUGAGGGAGUGCUGCAGGGGCUAUCGUUCUGGCCCCUAGCAUCUCCGCCGAUCUCCAGGGGCUUGGUCAGGAGCUCAGACUCCUCGUGGGGCCUGUUGCCCAAAUCUCAGCCCUCCAAAAAGUGUCCCUCUGCUUGGGGUAAUUAUCAGUGCUGAUAAGGGCUCAGGCAGAGCUAUAAAAUACUAUUUUUUACUUCCAGUCCAGAUCUUUCCUUACUAAAGUGCAGAGGAGAGCUGGGGAGAAUUCCGGGAGCUCCUUUGCAUUUGUGAGGUGAAUGAGGGGUCUGUCACCCAAAUCUACUUCUCAGCCUAAGACCAUGGUUCUCUCUUCCGUUUGCAAAUCUUGAUAGUUCUGUUUUCUCCAAAGUAGAAUGUGUCCACUAGGGUCCAGGUCAGAUGAGGACAAUGUGAGGCUCCAGUGUCGGCGGGUGACCUGGUCAGCAUUACUGUCUAUCUGGGCAGUGCUGGUUGUCACCAGGGAGCCAGGGCCAGUGGGGAAAGGGAAGGGAGGCAAGACCCAGAAGCAUCCUAGGGGCGUUUUCCGCUGGCCUUGGGUGACCAAGUCUCGAGGUCAGUGUGUUUUGAGGAGGCCCAGUGGCACCAGGCAGUGCUUGCAUUUCAUUUCUCCUGCUCCUGCUGUUUCUUGAGUCUGUCUUGUGAACUCUCGCAAUGAAAAGGAGGCAAGAGUCCGGGAUGGCUGUACCACUCCUGUAAUUAGUGGUGAUUGCUUUUUAUAACUCAGUCCCCGUAGACAAGGAAGAUAACCUUCAACAGCAAAUUAAAUGACUUAAUUGAUAAACACAAAAGCCGGCAUUAUUUCCAAGGAUUUCUAUAAGAAUUACCUGUAGAGUCCCAUCUGUGAUGAAGGAAGUGUGUAAAUCCGUGUAGACAAUCGUGUAACAUUUUUAGAGCUGCAUUCUCUCUGAUGGCACACCUCUUCGUUCAGUUCUGUUACCCAAAACAAAGACCAAAGAAGGCCGAUCUCUCAUUUGACUCUGUAUUUUUAACCUGCCUGUUUUAAAAUUGCCGUCCGUAGUAACCGCUCGCUGUGAGGACCCAUCUUGACAGUCCAAGUGAUUGUGACCAGUGAUUCACGUCCUGUGUUUUUUGCUCUUCUAAGAAAAAACAGCAAAAAGACAGUAUAAGUUAUUGCUCAGCAAUAAUCAUGUUGUUAAUGUAAGUUAACAACAUGUCUAAUUUUCUGAUAGCAUUAUUAUGUUUUAUAUUUUUGUUUACUGUAUACUGUGUGUGGUUUUAUUUGGUAUUUAUUUGUGUUUUGAGGUCUUGCAAUGUUUUUGUGUUUCUGAUGCUGAUAACUAAAGUUUGUAAGAGUGUAGAAUGCCAAACUUUGAAAUGCUAAACUGUCUAUUAGAGGAAAAUAAAUCUGACUAAG